rnacentral:rRNA from 1 species
CAGCACCUCAAGUGGUCAGGAUGAUUAUUGGGCCUAAAGCAUCCGUAGCCGGCGCUGUAAGUUUUCGGUUAAAUCUGUACGCUCAACGUACAGGCUGCCGGGAAUACUGCAGCGCUAGGGAGUGGGAGAGGUAGACGGUACUCGGUAGGAAGGGGUAAAAUCCUUUGAUCUAUUGAUGACACCUGUGGCGAAGGCGGUCUACCAGAACACGUCCGACGGUGAGGGAUGAAAGCUGGGGGAGCAAACCGGAUUAGAUACCCGUGUAGUCC